UCAUAGUAGGAAAGUUCUAUAAAGUGUGGUC
rnacentral:piRNA from 1 species